rnacentral:rRNA from 1 species
AUGCAUGAGUUAACUAAGGAAAACAUUGAGCGUAUGAAUGCUAAAUAUAAACUUGCUGGAGAUAAGGGUAGAAAACAUGUUGUGUUUGCACCUGGAGAUCUUGUUUGGUUACAUUUGCGUAAGGAUAGAUUUCCUGAUUUGCGCAAAUCAAAGCUAAUGCCACGUGCUGAUGGUCCUUUUAAGGUGUUAGAGAAAAUAAAUGAUAAUGCAUAUAAACUUGAGCUGCCUGCAGAUUUUGGGGUUAGUCCCACUUUUAAUAUUGCAGAUUUGAAGCCUUAUUUGGGUGAGGAAGAUGAGCUUCCGUCGAGGACGACUUCAUUUCAAGAAGGGGAGGAUGAUGAGGACAUCAAUACAAUUAUUACACCCAUAGUCCCUGCUGCUAUACAUACUGGACCAAUUACUAGAGCUCGCGCACGCCAAUUAAAUUACCAGGAAACAGACCCUCGUGGUCAGGUUGAUCGUGCUCCGGCGUGGUCGAUAACCUCUCGGAGUUGGUUUAGCGAUUGCUAA